UUUAGUAUUCUUUACACAUCGAUUUAAUCACGAUAUAAAAUAUUUACACGUUACAAUAAAUCUAAAUAAGUUAAGUGAUAAAUUUGCUCAAUUAAGGAAGACUAUGAAAGUUUUAAGAGAGUGGACAAUCGACGCACCAUGGGGAAAAAUAGCAAUGAUAUCAUGGGGCAACGAGGCAGGCUUGCCAGUACUGCUGGUACACGGAAGGCAGGACAGCGCCGCCACCUUUGAGCCGCUACUACAGUUGUUGCCGGACUCGUACCAUUAUGUGGCUCUGGACCUACCCGGACAUGGGCGCUCUGAUCCUUUCCCUACAGGAGUGAUGCCAACGAGGCUGCAUUUCGUAGGCGCCGUGCAGGUG